UACAGAGGGGGCAAGCGUUAUUCGGAAUUAUUGGGCGUAAAGGGCGCGUAGGCGGCUUGGCAAGUGGAAGGUGAAAUCCCUCGGCUCAACUGAGGAACUGCCUUCCAGACUGCUUUGCUUGAGUCCGGGAGAGGUGAGUGGAAUUCCCAGUGUAGCGGUGAAAUGCGUAGAUAUUUGGGAGGAACACCAGUGGCGAAGGCGGCUCACUGGACCGGAACUGACGCUGAGGCGCGAAAGCGUGGGGAGCAAACGGG
rnacentral:rRNA from 1 species